AUUUAGCAAGAGCCCUGUGACGGCAGACUCCUCUUCCCCAGAGGGGAGAAGCUGCAUGUAAGGUCAGCUUCUGAUGGUACCGAGGCAUGUUUCUUCCGGGGCUAUUGAAAAUCCCAGGACUCCUGCAACUGCCAGGUUCUGGAGAGCUGACUUUCAGGAAACCCGGUGGAAAACUUGGAAAGAGUGGAUGGAAUAGCUAUUGGAGGACUCUGAAAAAUAAAUAUGAACAGGUCUGAACUCGAUGGAGCAAGAAAUCGGGAAGUGAGUGUUGUCACAAACAGAGAACUCCGGACGCUGUCUAGUCCUGUUGUCAAGAGCAGUAAAGUGGUCUUCUCCUGCUCAGAGAGAGUGAGGGGAAUUCUGCCAUCAUCCCCCUUUUGAUUUUACUCUCUUACAAGGCAAUCAUUAAACACCGUACAGUGGUGGUGGGGACAGUGACGGUAAUGAGGGCACACUGCAGCCUAAAGUCAGAUGGAGAGAGCCCUGCCAUCUGAUAACAGGAAGUAAGUAUCACAAGGGUAGAAUGAGCCCCAGUUACAUUAUUUCUCUCUUUUCUACCCCUUAGCCACAGACCAAAGCAUAGUAGCAGAAAUUACAAAUCAGAAUGAAGUAAUGAAGGGCCUAGCCUACUGCUUGGAAGACUUAAGUAAUGAAACAGGCCACCGAGUGGCACAUGUGCAGGACAGAUCUAAAGAGCACCAAAAGUGCUUUGGAGAUGGAACUCAUAGAAAUUGCAAUUCACAAAAGAGUGGUAGAGACAUGAAGAAUCUAAUUAGGCCUGCUUAAUUAUCGUUAAAAAGCAAAGGGCAACACAACAUCCUCUACAGGAUUUAAUUAAGACAGUGUCUCAUAUACAAAAUGCUCAGGAGGGCCAGGCUGGGGAUUUAGCUCACUGGUUUUGCUACCUGCCUC